rnacentral:rRNA from 1 species
UACGUAGGGUGCAGGCGUUAAUCGGAAUUACUGGGCGUAAAGCGUGCGCAGGCGGUUUGCUAAGACAGGUGUGAAAUCCCCGGGCUUAACCUGGGAACUGCGCUUGUAACUGGCAAGCUAGAGUGUGGCAGAGGGGGGUGGAAUUCCGCGUGUAGCAGUGAAAUGCGUAGAGAUGCGGAGGAACACCGAUGGCGAAGGCAGCCCCCUGGGCUAACACUGACGCUCAGGCACGAAAGCGUGGGGAGCAAACAGG